rnacentral:rRNA from 1 species
AUACGUAGGUGACAAGCGUUAUCCGGAUUUACUGGGCGUAAAGGGCGUGUAGGCGGCCUUGCAAGUCAGAAGUGAAAUUCCUGAGCUCAACUCGGGCGCUGCUUCUGAAACUGCAGGACUUGAGUGCUGGAGGGGAUAGCGGAAUUCCUAGUGGAGCGGUAAAAUGCGCAGAUAUUAGGAAGAACACCGGUGGCGAAGGCGGCUAUCUGGACAGUAACGGACGCUGAGGCGCGAAAGCGUGGGGAGCAAACAGGAUUAGAUCCCCUGGUAGUCCACGCUGUAAACGAUGAAUACUAGGUGUGGGGGGACUGACCCCCUCCGUGCCGAAGUUAACACAAUAAGUAUUCCACCUGGGGAGUACGAUCGCAAGAUUGAAACUCAAAUGAAUUGGCGGGG